rnacentral:rRNA from 1 species
UACGUAGGCAGCAAGCGUUGUUCGGAGUUACUGGGCGUAAAGGGUGUGUAGGCGGUUUUCUAAGUCUGGUGUGAAAUCUCCCGGCUCAACUGGGAGGGUGCGCCGAAAACUGGAAGGCUAGAGUGCGGGAUGGGAGAGUGGAAUUCCUGGUGUAGCGGUGAAAUGCGUAGAUAUCUGGAGGAAUACCGGUGGCGAAGGCGGCAUCCUGGACCGACAUUGACGCUGAACGGCGAAAGCUAGGGGAGCAAACGGG